rnacentral:rRNA from 1 species
AAUCUCCUUCGGGAGUGAAACUAGCGGCGGACGGGUGAGUAACANCGUGGGCAACCUGCCUCAUAGAGGGGAAUAGCCUUUCGAAAGGAAGAUUAAUACCGCAUAAGAUUGUAGCUUCGCAUGAAGUAGCAAUUAAAGGAGUAAUCCGCUAUGAGAUGGGCCCGCGGCGCAUUAGCUAGUUGGUGAGGUAACGGCUCACCAAGGCGACGAUGCGUAGCCGACCUGAGAGGGUGAUCGGCCACAUUGGGACUGAGACACGGCCCAGACUCCUACGGGAGGCAGCAGUGGGGAAUAUUGCACAAUGGGGGAAACCCUGAUGCAGCAACGCCGCGUGAGUGAUGACGGCCUUCGGGUUGUAAAGCUCUGUCUUCAGGGACGAUAAUGACGGUACCUGAGGAGGAAGCCACGGCUAACUACGUGCCAGCAGCCGCGGUAAUACGUAGGUGGCGAGCGUUGUCCGGAUUUACUGUGCGUAAAGGGAGCGUAAGCGGACCUUUUAAGGUGAGAUGUGAAAUACCCGGGCUCAACUUGGGUGCUGCAUUUCAAACUGGAAGUCUAGAGUGCAGGAGAGGAGAAUGGAAUUCCUAGUGUAGCGGUGAAAUGCGUAGAGAUUAGGAAGAACACCAGUGGCGAAGGCGAUUCUCUGGACUGUAACUGACGCUGAGGCUCGAAAGC